rnacentral:lncRNA from 13 species
AGAGAGGCAAGGGCUGGGAGACAGGAGGUUAAGAAUUCUGCCCCAACCUGUGUAACUAUGGGUGAGUCCAUUCACUUCUCUGAGCCUUUCCAGAAAGACUUUCUCACAUUUCCAGAAUGAAGAAAGUCCAACCCUGUGUAGGGCCGAGGGCAGAUAUGAGCAUUAGACAGGGAUGCUGAGGCCCAGGGAGAUACAGGGAAUUGCCCAGAUCACAGAGCAAGUCAAGCACAGAUUGCCUAGAACACAGAUUUCCAGGACCCACACUCCAAGCUCAAGGCCUGGCUCCAAAAAGACCAAGGUGCUGUCAAAGGACCCAACCCCGAGGAGCUAUUCAACUAUGUGUGUCCAGUGGGAUGAUCCCAGAUGA